UCACAGAAACUUCCGGCUUUGAUCACGCAUCAUGAACUAUAAACAAUCAAGUCAGAUAUGAUUAUUCGUUUGAUUUUUAUACUUGAUUUAUAUGUGAAUCCCACAUUUCUCCCUUAUUUUUUUUUUUUAAUAAAAUGCUGAAGUGGUAGGUAGAUGCAAGAUAAAGGUAGAAAACACAAUUUAGUGCUGUAAGAGGGCAAAUGUAGAUGAUCAGGUCUGUGCCUAUAGACUAAAUAUUAAUCCAAGCUUGUCUGGAGAUAUUUUUGAUUGCCCCAGCUGGAGAGACUGCAAAACAUCCCACCAUGCACAGGACUUGCCCCCACACCCAAUUAUCUGGCUCCAAAAGUCAGUAGCGCCAAGGCUGAGAAACCAUAAUCGAAAAGAAAAAAAAAAGUACUGUAAUAAUAGAAGCUUUCUCCCCCAAAAGUAUGUUCUUGCCCCAGUGUUCUUGGCCAGAUUUUUACUUUUAUUGAAGACAUAAUAAGAAAUAAGCAAUUUGAUUAUUUCAGAAGUUUGGAAAUUCCUGGUAUUUUUAAAGUCCAUUAUGAAAUCCCCAAUCUAAAGAGGUAGGAAGUAAGACUUUUCUUUGUAUAUUUGUAUCACAUAAAAACAAGUUUUUAAAAGAGUUCCAACCUUUAUUUUUUAAUUGCACCUCCAAUAUGAAAGCAUUAGAAUAACUCACUGCUGCACUGUUGGUAGUAAGACUGAAAACACCAUAAAUGCCCAUCAUUAGGUGACUAGUUCUGUAAAUUACAGUAUAUUCAUAUAAAGGAUAUCCUCAAGUUUUGAAAAUAAUAAGGGAGAUCUGAACGUGCUGGUAUAGGGCAAUCUUAUAGAUCAAUUAAGCUUAAGUAAAUAAACUCUGAAACAAUAUGCAGCUUACUCAAAAGAAAAAUAUAAGAUACAUAUAUGUAUACACAUAUGUAUAUAUUCAUAUACCUCACAGAUUAUUGCUAGGAAUUCACACAAGAAACUGGCAAGAGUAAGUGCCUCUAGGAAGAGCCCAGAGCAGGAAGGGACCUUUACUGGUAUUGUCUGAAUUUUUUUUUCAACAUGGGUUUAUGCUGGCUUAUUUACUGACUGUAAAACUUAAAUCACAAAUCCUGAGGCUGAGUAUUUUCCAACUUGAAAGGAUGAAAAUAACAGCCUACCUCAUUGGUUAUUGUGAAGAUCAAAUGACAGAGCAUAAUAUGCAUUGUAAAUUAUAAAGCAGCAUACAAAAUUAAAAAUUAGUCCUCUGACAAUUUUCCAAACCAAUUAUAAUAAUUAUUAUCAUUCUUCUAACCAAUUUCUCUAAACCCAAAGAUGCGACUGUUUAAAAUGAAAUGCUAAGUGAAGAUACAAUCUUAGAACACAGAUUUUGAUUUUACAGUUAUUGAUUUUCUAUUUAAAAGAGUAAAUUUUCAAAAAAAGUUGUCAUUUAAAAAUGGCAAAUCAGCUGAUUACAGAAGAAAAACAUGCUCGGUGUUGAAAAGAAGACAAAUAAAAACUAUAACCGUGCUAUUAUAAAAUCUUGGUAUUUUUCUCUUCAGUCUUUUUUCUAUGCAUGCUAAUUGGGUUAGAUCAUUCGUCUAAAAAUGUUUCCUCUUUACUAUAACACAGCAUUCAAGUUACAACAUCCCUCAGAUUAUUAUAAACUCCUUUAUAAAUAUAAUUUUUAAUGAAGGCAUAACAUUUUAUCUUGUUGAUAAGUAUUCAACCACUUUCAAAUGAAAUUCCAGUGUAUGGAUUUGCCUAAUGAACUAUGCCUGAAUUAACUUUUUAUUCAUUUCUACCAGUUCUCCAAGUAACCAUCCAUCUCCUCCCUUCCCUCUCACUCCCCCCAUUUUCCUGCUUUUGGUUUCCAGAGUUCCAAUUUUAUUAUGUGCAAAACUUGCUAAACAAAGAAACAUUUGUGUUUAUAGUUUCUUGAAGAGCAAGUCAAAUACCUUAGAUUGAGCCCUUAAAUCAGACUAUUAGUGAGAGUGGAGAUUAGAACUAUGAUUCACUACUAAAUAAAGAUGCUCACUCUUUCUCUACAUGUUAGUCUGUUACUAACAUUAUGUCUGCAAAUAGAGUGAAAACAAAGGAAUGCACUCAGGUUAUUCCUGGAAGGCUCUUUAUUGGACAAACCCAACUGUUCCUAAUUAAUUUUAACUAUGACAACUCCUCCGAAAUGCUGAACAUUCCAAGUCAUUUUUGAGAACAGUUAGGUAUCACUCUAGGAAGUACAAUUUCCUGAGUAUACUGUACAGUAACUGCAGGCAAAAAAAAAAAAUCAUUAUUGUGCCCUUCCCACAGUAAGAACUCAAAUAAUAUGUCAUGUUGAAUGAAUACCCCUUUUCUGCUUCUGAGAACAUGUUGUAAUUUUCAUACUCUACCUUGUAUUUACUGUUUAAAUCAGAGUACAAGGGGAUGCAUUAUUGACACACACUGUAUACCUUUUUUUUAAAUGAAUUGAAAACAAGCACCAGAAACUAUGAAAUUAUAGAUUUUUUCCUCUAAUUUCUAGAUUUUCUGUAAUGCUAUUACAUGACCCUUGCAAUUAAAAAGAGCAUUAAAAGUAUUCUUAUAGCAUUUAUUGUUAAAGACCAUAUACUAAGAUUUUUUUAAUUAAGUCCCAUUCUAAGGGCAUUUUUAUUAUUAAAAAAAAGAACCCUUGCUAAAUUAAAAGAAGAAAACUUCAGCAUAAAGCUGAACUGCUAGAAAUUAUUUAAAAUACUCAUAUCAUGCCAUAUUUCAACAAAAUAAAAUUUUCAUCAUCAUCAAGAGCACUACUUGUUCACCCACAAUUAUAUUGUCAAGAUACAAUGAAAGGCACUGGAGAUUCAGAGACAAAAGACACAGAUUCCAUCCGCCAGAACUUUACUACCUAAUUAGGGUAUAUCUGAAAAAGAAAAUAAAACACAUAAAGGGGCAUUGGAUAUCCAAGCAUCUAGUACACAAGAGAACUGUAGUGAAAUAGCUUGUGACGUCCUACAGAUCUUGGUUCAAAUCUUAGAUCUACCACUUACUAGCUGAUGGAAAUUACUUCCCUAGUUUGCAAAAUGAAGUGUUAGAUUGGGUGAGGUAAAAUUCACAGUACACCCAAAGGGAAGCUAAUGUAUUAUUGUUAUUAUUAGGGAUACAGGCUUGAGGAAGAAACAGACAAUUGGAAAAGCUUAAAAAGAGAAAGUAUUAUACCUUUUUUGUAAUCCACCAUAUGCAAAAAUCACAAGAUAUUUCUCACUCAAGUUUUACUUCAUAUUGCUAAGAAAGUAGAACAUCUAGUGAAGACAAUGGAAAUUAGAGCACACUAAGGCUACACAGCCCUAAAGUACCCUGGGAAAGUCAGCACUAGAUCUACAAAUCAUAGAAUAUGACCUCUAAAAAGAGAAUGCUGGCUGGAGAGGUCCUGAGGUCAGCUAAUUCAAACUCCCCUACUAGAAUACAAGCUCCAUGUUUUGUUUGUCUCCAAGCUCUAAGAGUCACUCAUUUUGUUUAUUAGUAUAUCCUCAGUACCUAGAAUAAUUCCUAGCACAUAGUGAACGCCCAACAAAUAUUUGUUGAAUGAAUAUUUAAGUUUAGAAAACUGAGGCCUGGAGACCUAACUCACUGCCAUACAGUUAGCUCUUGGCAGAGCUGGGCCUGGAACGAACAUUUCAUUAGCCUAGUAUUCUAUUCUCUCUAGACAUUAGAAUAUGAUAAUUUAGAUAAUUUAUCUUGGUGGUUGAGGAGAUGGAGUGCUGGCUGGCAGGCAGAGGAAGGAAGGAGUAAAUUAAAACAGUUUUCACAUUUUUCCCCCAAACUGUCAGUUUUGCUUAACUGAUAAAGGCAAAAAAUUAUAAACAAGACAAUCCAGCACACUCCCAGCACACAACUGGUACUUAACAAGUAUUUGCUGAAUGAAUGAAUCUACACACAAACCCUUAUCUCAUGACCGGAGGCAGAAACUAACUUCAGCAUCUGCUUAUCUUUGUAACUGUCAUAGAGCCCUUUAGAAUCUUCAGUCAUUCAUAAGACAGUUAUUAAUCACUUUCCUCCAGAUGAGCACUGAGGAAGAGAGGUAGAUUAAAAGAUGUCCCUGCCCUGGAGGAGCUCUCACUUGAGUAUGCCUAUGCCUAAAUGUGUGCGUUUUGGGGGUGGGGGUGAGGAGUGAGGGUGACAUGAACAUCCAUAAUGAAUGUGAAACCAGGUUGCACUGUUAUCUCAGUUUGCCUCAAGCAGUUAGCAAGUUAAAUUAAAGAAACACAAAUUAGCAAAGUUUUAAAAUAACAUGGAGAUAUAUUAUGGUAUAUUAACACUUGGUAAGAUACUUUUUCCUGUGUCUUUACAAAAAUUUUACUUCCUCUUAAUGUCUUAAAAUCAAAAUAUUCUAAAUUGAAUAAUCAACAUAAAUGAACCAUCCAUGUAUGUUCUCUCAUAUGAGACACUGAAGGAUAAUACUCCUGAUUCAGUAUUUACUGCGUACAUGUUAAUAUAUAUAACCACAAGUACAUAAAUUAUUUCACUGUCUAUAGAACUGGCAAAACCUGAAGAAAAUGCCCAAAGAUGAAUGCUAGUAAACAGAAACAACAAACAGUAUUUCACAGGGAGAGAAUGAAAUACACACAUAACUAAGAAGGUCUACAGAAGACUUCAAAGGAACAAAAAUCUUCAAGGUGGUCAAACUCGUGCCCCAACUGGCCAACAGAGCAGAAGAACAACAGCCUGCCUACAGGAUAAUGUUUAAUGCAGAUCACUAACUAGGCUCAUAUUAAAGUGAACACCCAAAAGUCAAUGUUGCCAUUCCUCUAAUUUGAGUUUCAGGAGGACCCUCACAAAGAUUCACCAUCAAGACUAAACCAUCACAUUCCAAGGAUUCUUCACGGUUAUCUAUCUGUCAAAUUAGGGAAGUAAACUGGGAAAUAAACAGAUUUCACUUUUAUGAGACUGAUACUUCCUGUGAACUAAAGUUAGUUUACAUGGGGCACAUGUUUAUAUGUGACUCCUGGUUUCUGCGGAAAAUAUUUUUUGGUCUAUCUUAGAGUGCUGGUGAAACACCUCAAAGCCUCUUGACCCCAACACAGAAAAAAUCUAUCGCUGAGUGUAUGCCCCAACCCAGGGUUAAAGCCUUGUUAAGUACUGGAGAACCCAGGCCAAGGAAACCACAAAGUGGCAGGGAACUACAAAGGCAGGCAGAAAGGCUGCCGAUGGGCCCCAGCGGGGAAAUACAUUAGCCACCGGCUUUGGACAGAACUGGCUGAGACGGUGAGGUUGGGGUGAGUUUUGGUCAGAGAAGCGAAAAGGGACUGACAGGUGCUUGUCAACCUGGACAACAUGGGAAGAUUAUAAUUGGUUUUCUUUACCGAAGGGCUGGUACAAGGCUCCCUAACAGUUUUCUGGUAAGCACAAGGACUGGGCUCUGAAGGAAAUAGAAAAGCAAGAGAAAAGACCCUGAGAACAGAUUUCGGUGAAGACGGCCCCGAGACGAGUAAUCUCUAUAGUAGUUCCCAGCACCAAGACAGCUGCAACUAUCACUCCCGUUAAAGGAUGUCUCCCUGUUAUCCGCUGGCAGAGCGAUUGAGAGCCCACACGGUGGGAAUGGAAGCAAACUUGGGCAGGUUAAGACUGAAUCGGGGGUCUGACCCAGAAAGAAACUUAAUCAGGACGGUAAAAGGCUGAGUUCUAGAAUGCGCUAGCAGAGUUAAGGACUUGGGUAGGAUGAGAUUUCUUUGGGAAAGGUGUCUGGAGUAAACUGCUGUGGAAGGGAGGGUUUUCGUUGGACUCAGUGGGAAAAUGACGGUUUAGAGAGGAGACUGGCUUUUAGGGGGUCCUGAGCGUCUGGCUCAGGAAGGUCACUCUAACUGGGGGAAGCGCGCUACUCGGGGGUGAGGCUGAUCCGCACGAGCUCAACAGGAGCUCACCUGGGGUACACAUGGCCUGGAGAAGCAAACUCCUGGGUGGGUGAAAGCUAAGCGGAGCGGGAGGGCCGGGCACCCGCAGACCCGGCCGGGAACACGGUCCACUCCGCUGCGGGCGCAGGGGCCAGCGGUCAGGGGGUCGCGCGGGGCGGGGCCGGGGGUGCCGACCGAGCCGGGGCGGGGCUGCUGCGGCCGUGGCGGAGCUACCAGCUCGGGAUGGCGCCCUCCCUUAGUCACACACACUCGCUCUUGCUCUCACCAUCGGCCGCCCAGUCCGGGACGGAGAGAAACCGGCCGGGAUCAGCCCCGCCCACCCGGCGCAGGCAGAGGCGGUGCCCAAAUACUGGCUACGGAUUUACGCUGCCGGACAGGAGCCUGCCCCCGGGGCCGCCUGGGAAAAUCCGGAGCGGAUAUAAAAUUAAAGCGGACGGGACUCCAGUUUAUCCAGCUUAAACUUUACGCAGGUCUUCACAUCAAACUUUUGACCAUCACCCACAAGGAGGCCAGGUCUUUCCA